GUCUCCCGAUGUAGCAUUGCAUCACAAAGCAGCUUGCCUUGCUGAGUCUGGAUGCAGUGAUGCAGGCAAUAUGUCAACGCAUUCUGAUUCUGUGGGUGCAUACUGUAUCUUUCUUGCUGCUCAAUGAAUUUUUAAGCACAUUUGAAGUGGGCAGUAUAGGUAGGUGCCUUUGCUGCGUUGUCAGAGGAGAGGCAAAGAACUGAAUGCCUGGAGACCCUUACCCCAGCCAGAAGUUCUCUCUAGAUUAAAGCCGAGUCACACUGACAAGGCACGGUUGGGAAGUAUGACUUGUAGCAUGGCUGCUCAUCACUGAGAUGUGCUGGUCAUUGCACACCUCUCAGGAGCACAGCCAUCCCUGAAAUCCCACGUAGCUGACAAAAAGGAAAUCUCUGCUACAUGUAUGAGCUAGAGAAGCAGCAUCAGCAAGAAUAUCCUUAGCUCUGCAUUGCAAGAGCUGACUUCGCCACAGUGAAAGAUUCUUUACUUCAAACUGCAGGUCUGAUACUGUCUGAAUUCUUCAGCCAUCUGGACAAGGAGCUGAGGAGGGGAUUUCCUCUGUUGAGCAGUGUCAGUGCAUUUGGGGACUGGAAGAGUUGUUUUGCCAACAGGCAAAGAGACUUCCUGAUCACAGAGGUCUCAUUUCUAACACAUCAAGUGUCCGCUUUUGUCAGCUACAACUUCCCAAAAUUAGGAGCCAGGCUUUCCAAAUCAUAUGAUUAGCUUAGUUGUUAAGAGGGUUUGCUGUGUUUUUUUUUUUUUUGGGGGGGGGGGAGAAACAUUGAAAUAAAUGGUGCCUGUUUUCAAUACCUAUCCUGCAGGCUAC